AUUGAACGCUGGCGGCAGGCCUAACACAUGCAAGUCGAGCGGCAGCGGAAAGUAGCUUGCUACUUUGCCGGCGAGGGGCGGACGGGUGAGUAAUGUCUGGGAAACUGCCUGAUGGAGGGGGAUAACUACUGGAAACGGUAGCUAAUACCGCAUAACGUCGCAAGACCAAAGAGGGGGACCUUCGGGCCUCUUGCCAUCAGAUGUGCCCAGAUGGGAUUAGCUCGUAGGUGGGGUAACGGCUCACCUAGGCGACGAUCCCUAGCUGGUCUGAGAGGAUGACCAGCCACACUGGAACUGAGACACGGUCCAGACUCCUACGUGAGGCAGCAGUGUGGAAUAUUGCACAAUGGGCGCAAGCCUGAUGCAGCCAUGCCGCGUGUAUGAAGAAGGCCUUCGGGUUGUAAAGUACUUUCAGCGGGGAGGAAGGUGUUGAGGUUAAUAACCUCAGCAAUUGACGUUACCCGCAGAAGAAGCACCGGCUAACUCCGUGCCAGCCGCCGCCGUAAAAC
rnacentral:rRNA from 1 species